rnacentral:pre_miRNA from 1 species
UUAACUCGAAUCUGUGUGGAGUUGGAACGUUUGCCUACGUUUGCCGCUGUUCCAACUGCAUACAAAAUUGAGUUA